rnacentral:rRNA from 1 species
AUUGAACGCUGGCGGCAUGCUUUACACAUGCAAGUCGAACGGCAGCACAGGGAGCUUGCUCCUGGGUGGCGAGUGGCGCACGGGUGAGUAAUACAUCGGAACGUGUCCUAUUGUGGGGGAUAACUGAUCGAAAGAUCAGCUAAUACCGCAUAAGACCUGAGGGUGAAAGUGGGGGAUCGCAAGACCUCACGCGAUUGGAGCGGCCGAUGCCCGAUUAGCUAGUUGGUGAGGUAAAGGCUCACCAAGGCGACGAUCGGUAGCUGGUCUGAGAGGACGACCAGCCACACUGGGACUGAGACACGGCCCAGACUCCUACGGGAGGCAGCAGUGGGGAAUUUUGGACAAUGGGGGCAACCCUGAUCCAGCCAUGCCGCGUGCAGGAUGAAGGUCUUCGGAUUGUAAACUGCUUUUGUCAGGGAAGAAAAGGUCUGUGUUAAUACCAUAGACUGCUGACGGUACCUGAAGAAUAAGCACCGGCUAACUACGUGCCAGCAGCCGCGGUAA